UACGAGGGGGGCGAGCGUUGUUCGGAAUUAUUGGGCGUAAAGGGUGCGUAGGCGGCCUGACAAGUCUGAUGUGAAAUCCCUGGGCUCAACCCAGGGCCUGCAUCGGAAACUGUCGGGCUUGAGUAUGGGAGAGGUUAGUGGAAUUUCCGGUGUAGCGGUGAAAUGCGUAGAUAUCGGAAGGAACACCUGUGGCGAAAGCGGCUCACUGGACCAUUACUGACGCUGAGGCACGAAAGCUAGGGGAGCAAACAGG
rnacentral:rRNA from 1 species